UAAUCCCAGCCCGCGUAUCAAUGAGCCCGGUCUGUAGGGUUCCAGGUUUGAUAGCUGGCUCUUUCUGGAAUCGUGAGAUACAAACCUGCUGAAAAUUAACGGUCCUGCAUUAGUCUAGAAGACGGCGGUUUCAAUAGAGGCCACAACGCGAGCAUCUUCACAGGCCGGAAGACCCUGCCCCGAUGGAGAGGGUAACACCAAGAAAACAAGCUCCAGGGUACUGACAACGCGAUGGACAUUGUCUCGUAACUGGACAGUUCGGCGUUGGUGAUGUGUUCCGCCGGUCGAUAAAACUGCAGCAAAAGUACGACAAGGAAUGCGUUUUUUCAACUCGCCGCUGUGUGGACAAGGAUUUGUCGGGUUUGCGACCAGCCACUACCGGAGCGGCUGGAAUGCAUUUUGCGAACAAUAUCUUCCCGGAGAUUGAUCAUAUUCUGGAUGUACCGAUACAGGAGCGAAAAUAUUUUCGAAUGUGAAACGUUCCGGGCUUCUUGCGGAGUGGUGGAUGAUAGGACUUACUGGCAGAGUCCCGAGGCAUACUGUGCGCAUACGCCUGAGUUGAAAGUGGUGGUACCACGAGCACCGAAACGAAGCCAACGGACGCUAGAUGUUCUGCGAGUUGUCAACGACAUGACCCUGAUCAGGUGGGAAUCGUAGUUCGAUGGGGACACCCCUUUCCAUACGUGUUCGAACCGUUCUACAUCCCGGAUAAGUUCCGGUGCCUGGCCUGGAUCAAAAAGCUGUUCGAUUGUUGAGAAGAGCUUGGUCUACAAAUUUUGAUGGUAAUUUGGCAUCCAGCUUGUUACGCGUAAGCUAUAGAGGUGAUCGGGGCAAUAUGAGCCACCUACGAAAACUUCAAGGAUUGCAUGGAAAAACUGGAUAAACUAAUGUAAAACUAAGAAAUGCGCCAACGAUCAGUGCCGGAUUUAGGCUUCGUGGGGCCCGGGUCAAAUCCUUAGACGGGGUCCUUGGUACAAAAUGAGCCCGAUACAUGAAAGUGUAGUAUUGCGUCAAUAAAAUAGCCGGAAAACUCCAGAAAAAUAUUAUAUUUCUCGAAUUUUCACUAUACUAUACUCACAUCGUGAAUAUUGCGUAAAAUAAAUCACCGUAUAAAAUACUUGAAAGUUCGCACAUAAUGAAGAUGAGAUAAAAUUUUGACUGAAUCGUUCUCAA